CUCUUCAGUAAUUGCGCAUGAACCAGGAUAUGCUUAGCUUGACAAAUGGAGCUGCUGGCUCUGAAUUGUAUUGUGGGAAUGUAUUACCAACAGAGGUGCAGGUCACACUCCUUGGCAUUGGAAUGCAAAGUGGGUGGUAAGUUUCAUGCAAAGGUAAAUAUGCAAUUGAGACUGAUAGCGCACAAGUACCAUGAGGGACAUAUGAAAAGGACUUUGAACAGAGAAUUAAAUGAGUUUGUAUUUGCUAAACACAAAGUAAACAGACUUGAUUUCCUCAGUGAGAUUGUAGUGCUUGCUUGACAAUGGGUUUUGGCUGCAAGUGCAAUAAUUCUUGCUUUGUGUGCCAGUUUUUAUGUGGACAUUUGAUUACCUUGGCACAUGAAUGGUAAUUUUCCUGCGGGGUGUGGAUUGCAUAUGCAUGUAAUGAUUUGCAUGUUUGUUAAAUGUGUCUGGUGUAUUUGUUUGUGUCCUUGUCCUGGAGGUUGCUUUCUCCCUUGGGCUUACAUGCCCUGGCACACACAUUCUGGCAAAAUGCUUCUGCUUGACCCGUCUUGAAAAU
rnacentral:rRNA from 1 species